rnacentral:rRNA from 1 species
GGCGACGACGGGUAGCCGGCCUGAGAGGGCGACCGGCCACACUGGGACUGAGACACGGCCCAGACUCCUACGGGAGGCAGCAGUGGGGAAUAUUGCACAAUGGGCGAAAGCCUGAUGCAGCGACGCCGCGUGAGGGAUGACGGCCUUCGGGUUGUAAACCUCUUUCAGCAGGGAAGAAGCGAAAGUGACGGUACCUGCAGAAGAAGCGCCGGCUAACUACGUGCCAGCAGCCGCGGCGG